UAUCUAAACGGAGAAAUUCAAUACUGUUCGCAAGAACGGUGUGCACUUUUCUCUUAGUAAGACGUUGUGAUCCAUUAGGAAUCGAUUGUCCAUCUAAUGUUGGACAAUCAAUAGGUUGCCAAUAGGCCGGCAUUGAAGUUCUCGAUGGCAAACAGCGCGAUCUUUUGGUUGUGCAUAUUGCCUUGGGAGCGUGCCGUGUUCUGAUGCAACUGCCUGAUGGGUUUUAAAGGUCAUGUCAUUGAUGCUUGCAUCACCCGAUGAUUCUAUUGGGCAUACGACAUGUAUCCGAUCAACAACGGUCUCAUUUGGGAUACCUUUGGGACCCGUCUUGAAACACGGACCAAGGAGUCUAUCUAGUAUGCGAGUAAAUGGGAUUUUUAGAAACCUAUUUGCGUAAAAAACUUGACUGUUAUGGGAUUACGUGCUCGCGCACCUCCAUCCCGGGGUAUUUUCAUCACAUAUGCGGGCAACUGUAUAUAGAAAAUAUACCAUGAGCAUACUGGACAUGACCCGAAAGAUGGUGAACUAUGCCUGAUCAGGUUGAAGUCAGGGGAAACCCUGAUGGAGGACCGAAGCAAUUCUGACGUGCAAAUCGAUUGUCAGAA
rnacentral:rRNA from 1 species